rnacentral:lncRNA from 1 species
AUUUAUUUUUCACCUUUCAGUAUUUGCUAGUUUAUUGUUCUAUUUUUUAUUGUAAUAUUUUAUUAUAUUACCUUAUUAACAGAAGUACCUCUAUUAAACUAAGAUGUUUAAAAAAAAUUGCACAAGCGUUUUAUUAAAUUAGUUGAACAGUUGACUAAAUUUAUGUAAAUAAGUAUUUAUAUGUGUGUUUAUAAGCAAAUUAUAUGAAAAAAAAUGCUGUAAGUAAAUAUGUUUCUUACUCUUAAAAUGUUGUAUUUGUUAGCAUUGCGUUUGGUAUGAUUAUGCAUAUAUGUAUAUAUACAUAUAUAUAUAAACAUAUCAAAGGUUAUGCACAAAUAUAUGAAAAACUGAAAAUUAUUUUUAAUAUUCGAUUUAGUAAGUGAAAUAUAAAUUAACUUUGAAGUUUAAUUAUGAUUAAAACUUUCACAUAUAUAUUAAUAUCACUCGAUAUUUUCCCCCCCUCUCUUUAUUUUAUGUAUGUUUCCUAUUAUUCAAUACUUUUAUAGUGUUUUUUUAGUAGUACGAAAAAUUUAAUAUUAUUGGCUUUUCAUAAAUUUUAAAAUUUUGUUAAAAAUAUAAUUUGAAUUUAGGAAAUUUUUUAUGUUAAUAUUUAUUGAAAAGAAAAUUGCAAUGUAUUUAUGUUUUAAAGGUUUUUUUUUUUUUUUUUUUUUUUUUUUUUUUUUUUUUUUCCAACCUCGUAUCUUCAAAAUGAAUACUAAAAGUAGUAAAAUUAGUCAACAAGAACAAUCAGAAACGUUGUCGCUUAUAAAGAAGCAAUUUUUCAAAACUAAGAUGUGCCCUUUUCAAAAAAAUAAGAAUUAUUGUUUAAAUGAGUUGAAUUGUCAUUAUGCUCAUAGUCUUGAUGAAUUAAAGCCAAUGCCAGAUUUGAGAAACACGAAAUUAUGUGAUUAUGUAAAAAAAAAAUUACCUUGCAAAGACCCCAAUUGUAAAUUUGCCCACGAUAUUGAUACUUUAAAACCUAGUAUACAUUUAGCAACGUACAAAUCUACUAUAUGUAGUUUUUGGGGUAAGGGUAAAUGUUUUAAUGGUGAUAAAUGUAGAUUUGCACAUGGUACUGAAGAUAUGAAACAGGGUCAGAAUGAUGAUACAUUAAUAGAUGCAUGUAAAUAUAAUAACAAAAGUAAAAGUAAAAACAAAACUGAUACAAUUGUUAAUGACAUAAAACAAAGAACAGAAUCAACAAACACAUUCAAUACAUGCGAUUUUUCUAUUAAUGGUUCUAUAGAAGCUACAAAUGGUGUAUCAUCACCUUUUAAUAAAAGUAGAGAAAUCUUAUUAGCUAAAAAAAACAAAGUUAUAAUACUAAAAAAACAAAAAAUCAAGAUAAACUGAACAUGUAUGAUUCGAGUAAUGAAAAUGACCAUGAAAAUAUAGAAGGUAAUUUUACCCACGGGGAGAAGAAAAAUCAUGGUGC